rnacentral:lncRNA from 1 species
CUUACAUUUACUUAUUUUUUUUAUUCAGUGACAAUUGUUUUUUCCUGGGAAAUGAAGGUAUGUAAUUGUUUUUAUCUGCCUCAAAAGUGACUUUGAAUCUGCAAAAUAGAGUAAAACUUACAUUUUUAUUUCUUAGGUACCUGAGAAUCCCACUCAAGCCUCAUGAUCUACUUGUGCUAUUCUGAUCAUUAAGAUGAAGGAGUCAAAAUGACUGCUUUGCUUCUGCUGUAUGUGUCUUGGAAAUGGAUUUUUCUAUGAAGUCUGUGGAAGCUUGUUACCAUGUUAAAUGCCCAGCUUUCAUUAAAUCUACACCUGAAGGAAACAUGGAAGAGGUCUUUUCCAACUGCUGUAUGAAAUCUCUAACAGCUCAGGUGUAUGUGUUUACUAUGAAUUGAACUCAAAGCUCUUAAGUAAUGCUGUGUGUUUAGCCUGUUUACUCCCCAAAGUAGCUGGAGAAUUAUCUGUGCAUUUUCCACAUUGUUUUCAGUGUGCUGCUUUGUUUGAUGGUGGUUUAUUAAUGAUACUUGUGAUUUAUUACUGUCACUUUAUUAGAUUAUUUGCAAAUCGGUGACAAAGCACUAUGUGGAUCAUGCCUUGUUAGUCAUAAAAGCACUCAAGAAGCCAUGAAAAUCAGUUAAGCUUGAACCUAUUGAAUGAAGGAGCAUAGUGCUCUCUAUUGAUCAGGAGCCUUUAGAUAUGUAAUGAAUAGUAGUACCUUUGUAGCACUGUCAGAUAGUGUUUUCCUUUGGAUCUGAUAAAUUACACCCUUUUGUACCAGUGGCUUGAGAUUUGGCAUAAAACAUUCUUGUAUUAGUAUUUCUUUCAGCUCCAGUACUGGGGUGAUCUUACGUGACCGAGGCAGAUAAAUGUUAGAAGAAAAAUUGAUAUUUGCUCUCCCAACAUAGUGUUGACCAUUGAAUUAACACUGAUCUGACUUUCCUAUGUGUGCAGGAGACUGAGGGCUUGAUUACAAAUGAUUAGCAGAACAUUUUUACAGCCUGUGUGCAUG